AAACCCCCGGGGAGUAGAAGAAGUAGAUAGAUUGGCAAGUGAAAGCGAAUGCCCUAGAAAACUCACAGAAAAGAAAACAGAGAGAUGGAUCACAUAGCAGCAGCUGAAGAGCGAAUUGCGUCAGAGAGUGUACAACAAAAACUACACCAAGUCAAUUUAGCCGCUAAAGAACAUCUUUCUCCUAUCCAAGAUCAUGUCAAUUUCACCCUUCAGCAAGCAUACUUCAAAUGCGCGUAUGAGUGCUUUGAUAGGAGAAGAAGCCAUGAUGAUAUCAGCAAUUGUGUAGAAAAUUGCAGCGUUCCAGUUGUUAGAUCUCAACAGAUGGUUGAGAACGAGAUGGCCAAGUUUCAAAUAACAGUGUACUUUAUGGAACUUGCUACCCCACAUACUGAAGAAGCUAUCAAACUUGUUGAUAAAGUUGAAGCCUUUGAGUGGUUGAUUCAGAAAUACGAGAUUGAUGGAGCUGCUGCUUUAAGGCUGGACCUUUCACUUGACACACCAAUGAUCAUCAUUCCAAGAAAUUCAACGAGCAAAGAUUUCAUUCAACUUGAUCUGGGCCAGCUUCAGCUGACAAAUGAAUUUAGUUGGCAUGGCAGCCCAAAGAAAGAUCCUUCGGCUGUCGAUAUUGAUGUUUUACUCGCCGAGGUAUAUAUAUAUUUCUUAGGUAUUGCAAUUCUAAAGUUACUUAACUAUUGUUCACAGGAGCAUUAUAGCAGAUUAUGGGGAUCAACUUGUCUGUAGGGAUUGAUGGGUUUGUAGGUAAACAUAUGAUUAGUGAAGGCCAAGGAUUUGAUGUUUAUGUGCGCAGAAGUUUGAGUGACGUGUUUAGAAAAGUCCCAACAUUUUCUCUAGAAGUGAAGUAUUUUCAUGUCUGACAAAGAAUACAAAGGUAUUCUGGAUUGUGGAUACAUGAACUUAUGUGAGGAACCUAGGCUUCCUCCGAGUUUUCGGGGCUGCAAAUCUGGUUCUUCGAAAGAUACGAUGAAGAUGCUGGUUGACAAGGUCAACAUGAACAGUCAAUUGCUACUCACUCACGUACGGUUACCAUUGUGGCGGUUAUAGUCGACCAUGCCUUGUUAGAGUUGUGUAACGGUAGCUGGUAUUGCAGUGAGUAAUUUGAAGGGACAAAUAAUAUUGUAGUAUGUUUGUAGCGGUGGAGGCUGUAGCUAUUGAUGUUGUGUCUCAUUGAGUUGAAUAUUUAUAUAUACUUGCAUUAAAAAAAAUAGUGAAUCUUCUAGUCACAUUUGCUAUGUAUUGGUAUGUUCUAGUAAAUGCAAUGUCUUAAAUCAUAAAUAUAAAUUAAAUUGAUCACUUUCAAUUACAA